CGCGUAGGCGGAUUGGAAAGUUGGGGGUGAAAUCCCAGGGCUCAACCCUGGAACUGCCUCCAAAACUACCAGUCUAGAGUUCGAGAGAGGUGAGUGGAACUCCGAGUGUAGAGGUGAAAUUCGUAGAUAUUCGGAAGAACACCAGUGGCGAAGGCGGCUCACUGGCUCGAUACUGACGCUGAGGUGCGAAAGUGUGGGGAGCAAACA
rnacentral:rRNA from 1 species